CCACCAUUGCUGUCCCUCAGGGCACCAGAAAUGCAAGUUCCUCUGUCUGUGUGGAAUACUUUGAGGGUAUCAGGCCAGAAGGGGGCACUACAGCACUACAUGUAGAAAGAUGAAAUGACAUCAGAGUGAUAAGCAUUGGACAGGUGUCUGGAUGUUGUAGAAAACAAUUCCACGAAAGGGGAGUGGUGGCAAUAUGUAAAAGCAAGUGACAUUUCUUCCCUACCCAUCUUCCAGAAAAAGAGGAAUUGAUUCCUGAUGGAUUCCUGGAAAUUUUCUCACCCUAUGGGGACUCCCAGAGGCAGGGGAAUCUCUGUGUCCAAGGCCACCUUGUCUCAAAAAGGUAAUCAAGCGAGAACAAAUAGCAACAACAACAAUAACAAAACAAAAGCUAUGUAGAUGCUGUUCUGGAAGAUGACACUGAGGAUGCCUGGUGUCUGCUGGACUCUAUAUGCAAAUGCUUAUUCACUAAAAAAGACUUCCUGUCAUCAAUUUACAAUCAAGACAACCCCCACGGACAUGCCUGAAGGCCAACUUGAUCUAGAUAAUUUUUCACUAAGAAUCUUCUUGGGUAAUUAUAGAUUAUGUCACCUUGGAGGUUAAAACAAACCAGCACAAUGUGAAUCAGCAUUUCCUGCCUUUUCACAACCAGGCAACACUCCACUAUAUGAACGCACCACUUUGGUUUAUCCAUUCCUCUGUUCAUGAACUGUGAGGUUUCCUCUACCAUAGGGUUUAUGAAUAAUGAAUGACGCUCUGACUAUCAGCA